GACGAACGCUGGCGGCGUGCUUAACACAUGCAAGUCGAACGAUGAAGCCUUUCGGGGUGGAUUAGUGGCGAACGGGUGAGUAACUCGUGGGCAAUCUGCCCUUCACUCUGGGACAAGCCCUGGAAACGGGGUCUAAUACCGGAUAACACUCUGUCCCGCUUGGGACGGGGUUAAAAGCUCCGGCGGUGAAGGAUGAGCCCGCGGCCUAUCAGCUUGUUGGUGGGGUAAUGGCCUACCAAGGCGACGACGGGUAGCCGGCCUGAGAGGGCGACCGGCCACACUGGGACUGGGACACGGCCCAGACUCCUACGGGAGGCAGCAGUGGGGAAUAUUGCACAAUGGGCGAAAGCCUGAUGCAGCGACGCCGCGUGAGGGAUGACGGCCUUCGGGUUGUAAACCUCUUUCAGCAGGGAAGAAGCGAAAGUGACGGUACCUGCAGAAGAAGCGCCGGCUAACUACGUGCCAGCAGCCGCGGUAAUACGUAGGGCGCAAGCGUUGUCCGGAAUUAUUGGGCGUAAAGAGCUCGUAGGCGGCUUGUCACGUCGGAUGUGAAAGCCCGGGGCUUAACCCCGGGUCUGCAUUCGAUACGGGCUAGCUAGAGUGUGGUAGGGGAGAUCGGAAUUCCUGGUGUAGCGGUGAAAUGCGCAGAUAUCAGGAGGAACACCGGUGGCGAAGGCGGAUCUCUGGGCCAUUACUGACGCUGAGGAGCGAAAGCGUGGGGAGCGAACAGGAUUAGAUACCCUGGUAGUCCACGCCGUAAACGUUGGGAACUAGAUGUUGGCGACAUUCCACGUCGUCGGUGCCGCAGCUAACGCAUUAAGUUCCCCGCCUGGGGAGUACGGCCGCAAGGCUAAAACUCAAAGGAAUUGACGGGGGCCCGCACAAGCAGCGGAGCAUGUGGCUUAAUUCGACGCAACGCGAAGAACCUUACCAAGGCUUGACAUAUACCGGAAAGCAUCAGAGAUGGUGCCCCCCUUGUGGUCGGUAUACAGGUGGUGCAUGGCUGUCGUCAGCUCGUGUCGUGAGAUGUUGGGUUAAGUCCCGCAACGAGCGCAACCCUUGUUCUGUGUUGCCAGCAUGCCCUUCGGGGUGAUGGGGACUCACAGGAGACUGCCGGGGUCAACUCGGAGGAAGGUGGGGACGACGUCAAGUCAUCAUGCCCCUUAUGUCUUGGGCUGCACACGUGCUACAAUGGCCGGUACAAUGAGCUGCGAUGCCGCGAGGCGGAGCGAAUCUCAAAAAGCCGGUCUCAGUUCGGAUUGGGGUCUGCAACUCGACCCCAUGAAGUCGGAGUUGCUAGUAAUCGCAGAUCAGCAUUGCUGCGGUGAAUACGUUCCCGGGCCUUGUACACACCGCCCGUCACGUCACGAAAGUCGGUAACACCCGAAGCCGGUGGCCCAACCCCUUGUGGGAGGGAGCUGUCGAAGGUGGGACUGGCGAUUGGGACG
rnacentral:rRNA from 2 species